rnacentral:misc_RNA from 1 species
AAGAUGAAGACUCUAAGCACCUGAUUAAAUUGCAACAAAAAGCCUUUUGCAAACCAGCUUAUGCUUGUAACCACAAUUUAAUUAUAUUUAUAUAUCACCAAACUUUGUGCUAACACUUGCUUAGAAAGUUUGGAUCCUGAAAGUUGAACUACUACUACUACUACUAACAAACUAACUUCAGAGGAAUAGCUUCUCCUUUUAUUUCAGAAUUGCUGCCCCGAAACUUGAAAAUGCAAGGAUCGGCAUCAACUAGCAACUUCACCACUUCUCUCAUGUUAGGUCGCAGGUUUGGAAGUUUAGUGGUGCAGAGGAUAGCAAUCUUCAAUACUUUAAUCAUGUCCUCUUGGACAGAUUCAGAUGUAACCUUGCUGUCAAGAACCUUGAGGACAUUUUCGUUGUUAUUGACAUGCUUCCAAACCCAGUAGACAAUAUCUUUCCCUUCUCCAUAUGCCUCAUCAAUAGGUUUCCUACCAGUGACUAAUUCUAGCAGCACAAUGCCAAAACUAUACACAUCACUCUUUUCUGUAACUUUAAGAGUAUAUGCCAUCUCAGGAGCAAUAUAUCCAUGAGUGCCUGCAAGAGAGCUAAUAUCACAACCCUUCCAGGACAUUUCUGCAAGCUUUGCAACCCCAAAAUCAGCAAUUUUUGGCUCGUAAUCUU